UGCCAGCAGCCGCGGUAAUACGGAGGAUGCAGGCGUUAUCCGGAUUCAUUGGGUUUAAAGGGUGCGUAGGCGGGAUGCUAAGUCAGUGGUGAAAGCCCACAGCUCAACUGUGGAACUGCCAUUGAUACUGGUAACCUAGAGUAUGAUUGAAGUGAGCGGAAUAUGGCAUGUAGCGGUGAAAUGCAUAGAUAUGCCAUAGAACACCAAUUGCGAAGGCAGCUCACUGGCCCUGCAUUGACGCUGAGGCACGAAAGCGUGGGGAGCGAACAGGAUUAGAUA
rnacentral:rRNA from 1 species